rnacentral:tRNA from 1 species
GGGUGAGUAGUUCAACUGGUUAGAAUCCUUGUCUCCAAAACGAGGGAUGUCGGUUCGAAACCGACCUUACCCA